rnacentral:rRNA from 1 species
UCGAGAAUCUUCGGCAAUGGGCGCAAGCCUGACCGAGCGACGCCGCGUGCGGGAUGAAGGCCUUCGGGUUGUAAACCGCUGUCGUAGGGGAGGAAGAUCCUGUGAAGAACAGGGUUUGACCGAUCCUAGGAGGAAGGGCCGGCUAAUCUCGUGCCAGCAGCCGCGGUAAUACGAGAGGCCCAAACGUUAUUCGGAAUUACUGGGCUUAAAGAGUUCGUAGGCGGCAUGACAAGUAGGGUGUGAAAGCCCUCGGCUCAACCGAGGAAUUGCGCUCUAAACUGUCGUGCUUGAGGAACCUAGAGGUGAGCAGAACAGAUGGUGGAGCGGUGAAAUGCGUUGAUAUCAUCUGGAAUACCGGAGGCGAAGGCGGCUCACUGGGAGUUUUCUGACGCUGAGGAACGAAAGCCAGGGUAGCGAACGG